CUCCCACUCAUCGACGCAUCAGACAAACUUUACCUUCGCGGGCAUUUUGAUCCACCUCAUCUCGAAAAGUUGUUAUUCGGAGAAGAAAAGGAUGCAGAAUAACAGCUUAUAUUAAUGGAUCAUUCUAUUCAAGAGAAAGUCACUGGAACGUGGAUGUUUUCAUAACAGGCUUAAAGAUGAACAAAUUGAUAAAGAAACCCUCCUGCUGAACAUCCACUUCCAAAAGUGCACACCACACUGUUUUCUACAAACUCC